rnacentral:rRNA from 1 species
AUUGAACGCUGGCGGCAGGCCUAACACAUGCAAGUCGAACGGUAACAGGAAGAAGCUUGCUUCUUUGCUGACGAGUGGCGGACGGGUGAGUAAUGUCUGGGAAACUGCCUGAUGGAGGGGGAUAACUACUGGAAACGGUAGCUAAUACCGCAUAACGUCGCAAGACCAAAAAGGGGGACCUUCGGGCCUCUUGCCAUCGGAUGUGCCCAGAUGGGAUUAGCUAGUAGGUGGGGUAACGGCUCACCUAGGCGACGAUCCCUAGCUGGUCUGAGAGGAUGACCAGCCACACUGGAACUGAGACACGGUCCAGACUCCUACGGGAGGCAGCAGUGGGGAAUAUUGCACAAUGGGCGCAAGCCUGAUGCAGCCAUGCCGCGUGUAUGAAGAAGGCCUUCGGGUUGUAAAGUACUUUCAGCGGGGAGGAAGGGAGUAAAGUUAAUACCUUUGCUCAUUGACGUUACCCGCAGAAGAAGCCCCGGCUAACUCCGUG